rnacentral:rRNA from 1 species
GCUGCUGGAAGUAGAAAUCGUUAUUAAACGUCAGGAAGUCCUGGACG